UUUCACCUCCCUUAUUCUAAUUACAUGUAUGAUUUUCUUUCAAAUCUGUAGGAAGAUCAAUUGCUUCACCUUCUUUCAUUUCCUUAUAUGUUCAAGUUCUCCAGACUUGUUAAUGCCUUUUCCAGCUCUUUUCAUCUUCUCAACUGGGUAUUGCAACUUUCAGGUCACCUCCUCUUUUAAUUUUUGUCCAAAUCUUGUUCUUUUUUUCCGGGUUAAUCUUUAUGAGGAAUUUGUUUUCCGGUCUGGUUUGACUUUUGUUGUUGGAGAGUUAGGCGUGAGGUAGAAGAGUUUAGGGCAUAACUUGGAGUUCUUCGCCGACAACAAUGGUGCUCUUUUACCAUGUAUUUGCUGCUCUUUAAAGGUGCAGUCUCUGGGAACAUAUUUAUGAUAUGUACAGAGAUAAUAUUCUUUUUAGAGCAUUCUUUAUUUUUAGUAUACUUGUUUCUUAAAUGUCUUUGUCAUGAGUGUAUUAUGUGAGAUAUUUGAGGUUGUUUUACUUGAAUUUUCUCAAUAUUAUAAUCAUAUAUUUUUCAUAGUGCUCUAAUUCGAGGAAGUUGGAACAUAAUUGAUUCUAUAUUUCAGAUGAAUUCUUAGGGAUAAAAUUAUACGAGUUGAUUGUGUGGAGAUGGAACUUUACAGUCAUGCAAAUUACCUUUUUUCUUUGCCUUUAUAUAUUUCGAGGGAAUGCUUGUGCAUUCCUCCCUUUUUCUGUUUGCUCUGCUUCAAACUUGGUGAUGAAAAACAUCCAGAAGCUUAUUGGAUUUCUAUUCCUAUUUUCUUUUUAUUGGAUCGUUGUAAAAAAAAAAUUCCCUUUUACUGAAUUCUGGCAGAUCAUCUUUAUGGUGAAGAUGAAGAUCCUCCUAUUACUUUCUUAAUAUUGCUCCAAGCGCAUUUAGAAGUACACGAUUUAUUAAUAUAAUUAGAUCAUUGAUCACUGAUCCAUGGGAGAAUUACAUUGAUCUAAUGGCUUUCACUUAUGACAAAAGAUAUAAGAACCCAAGAGCUUAGUUCUCAGAAGAUAGAAUUCUAAUAUCUGCUUCCGAUUAUGUUGGUUUGUGUUGCUUUUUAGGCAUGUGUGUAACAUUUGUUGGGUGGUGAAAACAUUUUAAGUAAAAGUGAUGAGAGUUGUUUUAAUUAUGAAUUUAACUUUUAAAGGAGUGUAAUUAGUACGCUAAUUUUUAUAAAUAUGUUAAACUUAACACAACAUUGCUCCCUUUCUAGGGAAACAUGCUUCACAAACAUUUAGUGAGUUGCUACUCCAUUUAUUUUCAGUUAGAUCAUGUGGUUGAUAGCGAACAAUCUUAGUUGAAGAUUAGAAUCUUUCUUUGCUACGAAGAUAGGUAUACUAUAGAAACCUAUGAUGGUCGACGAUUGGACUUUUCUACUCUUUACUUAAGUUAGUAUGCGUUUCUUUUACCCUAUGCGGAAUUGUCACAUACCCCUCCUCUAUUUUGCUUUCUUUGUGGCUCUAAAAUCCUCUAGAGCUUUUCCAUUCAUCGCUUUCCCCUUUGCCUGAGUUUUAACAUCUCUCUGCGCCUAUUUUUCCUCCAAUUAUAGUAGGAGCUAUGGAGAUACACGCUUUUUUAUUAUCCUUUACAUACACGCUUCUCCCUCUAUGGCAAUAUAGUUGCUCUUGGGACUGGGCUAUUGUUGCAGUUAUUUGCCGCUACCCUUGCUUAGUGAUUUAUGGUGUUUCACUGCUUCUGAUUGGUGAGUCUUACUUUUCUAUCUCCUUUUCUUAUUUCUCCUUGAUUUUAAAGUUCAGUUCUGCAUUUGUAGUUUUGAUUCGGAUGACAUAGCCAAUUCUGAGCUAGAAGUGAAAGAUCAAUUUACAAGCUAUUACAUAAUGUUCUUUUAAUUCUUGAAUUCUAUUCUUUAUUUUUUCAACCAAUUUUUUCAUACUACUAUUUCAAAAAAAAUGAAAAAUUAAGAUAUUUAGAAAUUCUAAGGAAAUUAAACGAAAAGGAAGAGAAGCCUCUAAUGGGCCAUUGGAAAAAUAAAAAGAUAGAAAGGAAGAAAACGAACCCAAACUCAACAUCCAUUACCAUUAUAACGUGUAGUAUGAGUAUCAAGCUUCUUCAAUCCUUAUUCAACUAUCUUAUUCUCUUAUUAUCUACCUUUUUCUCGCGUGAUUUCUAUAUUUUUUUUGUCCAAAAACGUAAGCAAGUACAAAGAAAUUAAAUGAAUGAAUAGAAAAUUAGUAUUUUGGAAAGAGAAUAUUAACAAUGUCAAAGGAACAUAUAGAUCUUUCUUUUCUCAGUCAGUAAAUGAAUUCUUAAGGCAAUAGCGGCAUCAACUCAGUAUACAAGAGAAAACCAUCUCUCAUGUGUGUACUAUAUGUGUAGUCCAAUUUUACUCCAACUAUUAGAGUACCUAUUGCAAUGUGUUGUUUUGUUUGUGCUAAAAGAAUGUAUAUUUAUAUUUGCAAACAUGCCUUUCAUUGAUCAUAAAGGCUCUUUGUGAGGCUUAGUCCCUUUGAUAAUUUUAUGUUUACCUAAUGAUGUCCGGUAUAUAUAUAUAGAAAUGGAUCAAAAUUUCUUGGUUCACGUAUUUAGCUUUCUUACCAUAAAAGGGUAUUGUUUCUAUUUUAUAAGCAGGGAAGUGGAUUUAUCAUCACAUCGUCUGCUAAUAAAACACCUCCAAUUAUCUGUGAAAACUAAAUAAAAAGUAGCUAGAUAAUAAUAAAUCCAUGGCUAUGUUUUUUUUUUUCCUAAUAACUACAGUUAUUUGAUUCUUAGAAUUCCUUUGGAAUAAUGCUUAUUUUUCAAUUGGUAGCAUGAUUAUUUGUGAUUUAUUUAGUUUGCAUUGUUAAGUUAUUAAUGGUUUUCUCUGUUGUGUGUUUCUCCUAAUAUUGGUCAUCAUAUGUUGUUCUGGUAAGAUUUUUUCAUCCAUAAGAAGUAUCAGUAUCUUGUUCCUGCUGCUCUUGUGAAAUAUCCUACAUAAUCCCCUUCUCUUGAAGUUUCAAUCUUUGAAAAUUGCGAGGUUCACAAUUACCUUGGCGGAGCUUACUCACAAUUACCUUGGCGGAACUUAUUCAGGGCUCUGUAGUUAUGCAUGGUGAAAAUGUUAGUAGUUCGUUCCCUACCCACAAGCCGCAUCAGCUGAAAGAGAAGGGAGUUGAGUUGAUUUCAGUAGGUAUAGACGUAGAAGGGGAAAAAAAGGGCACUCUGAAAGUUUAUAAAGUGAAACAUAUUGCAUUGGCUUACAUACAAUUGCACAAGAUCUAAUUGAAGGCGACUUUUUACUUUAAUUAAGUUCAUGACUAACACAUCCAUGUUGAGUACCUUUCAAGAUAACAUAAGAUUGAAGGUGACUUUUUCACAAUUUGGAGAUAUCAGCCGAUGUACGAUGUACGUAUUUGCCAUCGUGGGGUUUUUAUGUCUAAUUUUGUCUUUGUUCUUUUGGCAUAACUGUACAUCUCACGAAAUGUUCUUCUUUCAUAGUUGCAAUGUAAAGUAAAACUGCAUUAGAAUCUAAAUCGUCG
rnacentral:lncRNA from 1 species